rnacentral:rRNA from 1 species
GCAGGCUUAACACAUGCAAGUCGAACGAGAAGCUUCUUCGGAAGUGGACAGUGGCAGACGGGUGAGUAACGCGUGGGGAUCUGCCCAGAGGUUCGGAACAACCAUUGGAAACGAUGGCUAAUACCGGAUAAGCCCUUAGGGGGAAAGAUUUAUUGCCUUUGGAUGAACCCGCGUAAGAUUAGCUAGUUGGUGAGGUAA